GGUCAGCUGACACAUCCCUGCCAAUCUCCGGCAGACCCUCCCUCCCAGACCCUCCUACUUCCUGGACAGCAUCCAUGUUGAAGGCAGCUUCAACAUGGAUGCUGUCCAGGAGGUGGGAGGGUCUGGGAGGGAGGGUCUGCCGGAGAUUGGCAGGGAUGUGCCAGCUG